AAAUUUGGUCAGUAUCAAUUUUUUAUUGUGUAAUUUAAUUUGGGUUUUACUUUUGAGUUUGACACUUCUAACUUAUACUUAUGUUAGAGAUUUAAGCGAGUUUAUGCAUGACUUUGGAGAUAAUUGUGUCUAGAUUAUUCUUUUGUUAAUGUUUUUCACUUUUGUGUUGAUUUUGGGUGAGUAGGCUAGGGAUAAGCUUGAGAAAU
rnacentral:misc_RNA from 1 species